CCGAUGCUUCCUGGGAUAGGCUCCAGGUUCCCCGUGACCCUGAAGGAAGGAUAAGCAGUGAUGGAUGGAUGGAUAACUUGCUUAUUACCUGCUUAUAAUUUGGACUUGUCAGUGUAGCAAUAACUGCGUGAGGUCUGUGCAAUCACGCCACACACUGUAUCUAGUCUAAUCUGUGAAAGUUCGGGUGUUGACGCUGGGGUAUGCUGAUAGUGAUGCGGUUUGGUUUGGGACGGAGCUGCUGUCCGUGUAAUUUAGGAAGCCGUUUGGGAUUUUAGUGAGGAGUGCAGAUGCAGCGAGGACUUGCGCUUUAAGCCCGUCCCAAAUCAUCAUGAAGGGGGGCGCGGACACUCCAAAACUCCAGUGCGUAAAAGUUGAUCCACAUGGGUUAUGCGCGCACACCGGGCAUCCGCGUGAAGGCUUUUUAAUCCGAUUUUUUCCUUCUUAUUAAAAAAAAUUAAAUGCCUCCUUAACACCGCGGAUUUUAUCCUUCAAGACCUGUCAGGAUUGGAGUGAUUGAAGUGUUUUCUGUGGACUGACCGAUGGAAACAUGAGCCGAUUUUAUUAUCGCAUGCUUCUUUUCCCAUUUACUCUCUUCAGUACUGUUUUACUUCCGACUUCUGGAAAAUCCCAAAAUGAAGCUGACAGAAACGGGAGGAAGUGCUGUAAAGGUUUCAGGUUCGUCAUGGGCCAGUGUGUACCAGAAAGUAGGUAAAAUCUUGUUUUGUUUUAUUUUUUAAAUUCUCAUCAGCUUUUUAAAUUCACACACUCUGCGGUUAUUAAAACUGAUUAACUACAUGUUCUCAGUUCGUUUCAUUAUAUUUCAUUAUAUUUGAUCAAUCGACCUUUUAAAUAAAGUACUUUCAGUGCGGUAUCAGGUCGCAAUGCUCUUCUUGACCACCAGGGGGAUUAUAUUAUAUUGUAAAUACUGUACAUAGACAUGAACAGAUAUACUGUAUGUACUGUGUGUGUGUGUGUGUGUGUGUGUGUGUGUGU
ensembl:lncRNA